rnacentral:lncRNA from 1 species
UCUUAGAGACGAGAGCCGGGCUCUGAUGUGUAUCGGGCUGAGUGAGCCGCCUGAAGGACCAGAGUGCUACAGAUGCUCAUCUAUCAGAUUCCUCCAGCCUCUCAGAAUCUGUAAUCCCAAACCAAACCACGUGAGGUGUGUCUGCUGUUAAAGGUACCUCCUGGUUAAUGUGACGAUGCGCCCGAGUUACAGUGGCGGACAGAGCCUGGAAAACCCCACAGGGCUCUCUUCCGUCUAGACAAAGGCUUAGGAUCCAGCCCUUGGCGUUCAGGUGAUACCAUGGCUGAGUGAUGGAGGUGUACCUCAGAGAAGCAGCAUCAGGAUCCAUGGUUGACCAACCUGGGCCGUUCAAGUCUGUGCCCUCUCCACAAGGGGAUCUAUUUUACGAGGAUAUACACAGUGGCCUCCCAGCCUCCUUUGUCACAAAUCCACACUGCCAAUGUGACAAAGCUGCUUCUGAAGACAGCAGAAUAUAGUCCUUAGUCUUCACUGGCCCACAGGGUCCAUUCACAAAACUCCCAUUCAUUUUAUGAAAAAGGAUAACGGGAGCAAGACAUCGCAUACCUUUAGACGGAACCAUGCAGAGAAGUUAAAUUUUCUCAAUGUUUACCUUUCCUCGGGACGUGAAUUAGGUGGGAAUAGGUAUACUUUGCGUGGUCUGCUGAGAACACCAACACUACAGAAACAAAGCAUUAAAGGGAGCCAGCUUAAGGUAAGCCCUGUUGGCAUAGUUCUGUUAGUCACAGCAAUGACACCAGAGCUGGGUGGAAACUGUGACAAAGGGCAUGGCUGACUCCCCUACACAUUCGAAGCAGAGAGAGUGUUUAAGGAAGUGCCAGGGCACAGUGUACGGGAGCACCCUCAAGUCUGCGGUGGGUAGCUCGUACAAAAUUCUUUUUUAUGUAUGUGAGUACAUGGUUGCUGUCUUCAGACACACACCAGAAGAGGGCAUCAGAUCCCAUUAUGGGUAGUGGUGAGCCACCACUAUGUGGCUGCUGUAAUUGAACCCAGGACCUCUAGAAGAGUGGUCAGUGCUCUUAACCGCUGAGCCAUCUCUCCAGCCCACAAAAUUCUUUCUGAAGCAGGAAAAGGUGUGCAGAGGAAAGAGCUUGCUAGGCUAAGUUGGUAAUGGGCGGCGUCCAGUGUGAGGACAACCCAGCAUCGGUUUGCAGCCCGCUUGCACCCUACAGCCCUCCACAAAAGCGAUUCUGCAGUUCCUCUGUAUUGUAUAUAGUGUCAGCUUUGAAGCUGAUUAGCAAAGACAGAAACCAGAGGAAUAACACGUCUGUCUCAGACAAGGGCAACGUUACCUUCAUAAUAGGCAGGUCCUCCUCCUCACGGGGAGUCAUUUCCACCUGGACCUUCAGCGAGCAAGGGAGGAAACAGAGAAAAUGUCAGUACGUUGCUCUUGCCUCUGGAGCCUCGUUGGUGGGUACAUGGGGCUCCCUGGUGGAUGGACGUAACCAGUUGACACAGGGAGACUUGGUGGCAGCUCACACAUACUUCCACCAUGAAGGAGUUAAAAACCGUUCACAAACGAGAAAAGAAAAACAGAUACAAAAAUGGAGUGGGUGGGAUGCUCCAUUACAGGUAGAUGAAGCCACGAUUUAGCAUCUUCCAAUGUCCACUGGUCAGUGGAGAGCCACCACUCUCCCCCACCCCCAGCUCUAUCCCGACACUGCCUAAUUCUUCAGCAACUCUCAGGUGUGGAACGUGGACCAUAGAUGGUGGACUCUUACCGAGUCCACUAGUGAUGUGACCGACCAGGGAAGAUCCUCAGAAAGAAAAUGUACCGUGUGACCCCAUAGCCAUUCAGCAUCAGCAGAACAGGCUCUGGGCAAAGAUCAGCCCUGGGCCGCCUGAUUAUCUCAUCCCUGGCUCCACCCAGGCCUGUGGGACAGUGAACAUCAGAUGGACUGGAGGGGAGGGAAUAGGGUUAAUCCCGUAUCCCGUACUUGAAGUCAGACUUCCAGGCUGUAUUCUUUUUGAAAUCAGAAAUAACUCAAACUGUCAAGUGUGUUCUUGGCAUUUUUGGCCUCAAAGUUGUUCUGUUGUACCUUAUUUCAGGGUGCUUUUCACAGUCUCAGUAUGAAACCUGGUUCCCAGAGUCAGUCAGUGCUCAUUCUGCCCACAAGGCCGUGGGCUGUCUCUAUAGAUGUUUCAGGUGUUCUGCACAUCUCAUGCCGACAGGUCUACACCACAUUGCACGAUCUGUCAGUUUUAGUGUCUGUUAGUCAGAUGCACUGAGGAUUCAUCUGUGUUGUGGUGUGCACCUGUGCUGUACCUGAGCUACACCUGUGCUGCAUCUGCUCUGCACCUGAGCUACACCUGAUCUACACCUGUCCUGCACCUGUAUUGCACCUACAUACAUCCUGCACCUGUCUGCAUCUGAGCUACACAUCCUGCACCUGAGCUACACCUGUGCUGCACCUGCACUGCACCUGUAUUGCCAUCCUGCACCUGAGCUACACCUUCACUUCACCUGUGCUGUACCUGUAUUGCACCUGUGCUGUGCUUGCAUUGCACCUGAGCUGCACCUGAGCUAUACCUGUGCUGCACCUGCACUGCACCUGGGCUGUACAGGUGCUGCACCAACCUGUGCCUCUUUUAUGGCUGUAGUUUUGUUUUCUCAUAUAUCAGUUGAUAACAAUGGCUUCUUCCCACAGCUUGUCUAUUCUAGGUAGUGGCAUGGUGACCAUGUGACUUCUAUUUCUCCUGGGUGUAUGAAUUGCUGAGCCACAUGGUAGCUCUUUGACAUUUUCAGAACCGGCAUAGCCAUUCUUCUUAGGUAUCCCCAGCAAUGUACCCGAGAUUCUGUUGCUCCCCUCCCCCAUCACUGUCUGUAACACAUCUUUUCCCCCUUCUGUCUAUAGCUGGGUUGUUCUUCAGUGACCCUCUACAGGUGAUAAAUGACUUUUGUCAGCU